rnacentral:lncRNA from 1 species
CGUUAAGCUACGGCAUCAUCCCCCAGUCAAUUUCUACCCUUCAUUUAUUUUUUCCCUUUCACCGUUCACUACCACCCUCCCCCUCUUCUCGCUAGUGUUUUGUUUUACACGCCCGCCCCAGCGCGCGGUGUAUGUGCAGGAGGUUUAUGGUAAUUGCGGUCUCCCGACUGGCCUUCUGGGUAGAGUCUGCGCGAUUGAGAGAGUCGCUCGCGGUACAGCAACCCACUCCGCUCCGCGCGCCCUGUUCGGCGUCUUCAGCAACUCCGCACGAAAGGAGCUACCAGGAGCUUUCAGAGAAAAACUACGGAAAGAUAGACAUUCCCGACCUUUUUCACAAUAUCGCCGGAGAUAAAUAGUAUAUUUUCGGAAUAGACUGGGAUUGACGAGAUUGGAAGUAAGAGCUUUGAAACGGCAUGCUCUGAUAAAACCCAACAUGGCGCUGAGAGAUACGACCGAGCUGAAUGCAUUUCAGGAGUCCGCGGACCUCGCCACCUGUAUCCUUGCGCACUGCUAAACUGUACGUUACCAGCCGCUGGGACGUUCUAUAAAGGAUGAUUGGAAACCUUAUUCUAGGGAUUUGUCACACUAAGUCGAUGUUGACGGCAUUUUCUCUCGUCUGGAAACAUAUUGACAUAUUACUGUGAAAAAGUAUUGUGCGAGUGUAAAGGAAAAACUAUAACACAUUGUUUCAUUGACUGACAAGUAAAUAACCCUUUAGCCACACUUCUGCUUAUUUAUAUCCAACGGUUUGAAUAUUCGCUGGCCCGGGAUGUCUAUGCUUUUAUAACGGAAUCGUAACCUCCACGCACGAAUAUUUGCUCAGAGCCGUGAACAACUUGGAAAAACGGGAAAAGGAAAGUCGGAAAUAGAGGAUAUUGACCAGAGCGCUGGUCGGUUGGAGGUGUUUUAAGACGGACUGUCCCAUGAGGGGAUGACAUGCUCUCCGCUACACAGAUGUACGGAACGGUUCCCCCAUGGAUGAGUCACGAGAGGGCCCAAAUGUAUGGGAUGGUCAUGGAGGAGAGGAGAGUACCUGUUAGUGAUGCGGGGACCCAGAGAAACCUGGAUUUAAGAGAAGGCAACCACAUCACACAAAGCAUGGUGCGUCAUCCAUGUAUAAGAUGUGUAUUAGUGUUAUAACACCGUUUAUAAUAAGGUUAAGAGACGUUAACCAUACCCUCAUACCUCACACAAGUGAAGUCAUUCCGUGUGUAUAACAUGUUACAGGUGUUUAAGGCAAGUGGAAGAGUGGUGUAAAACCAGUUGAAGUGUGGUGUAUAAUCAGUUGAAGAGUGGUGUAAAACCAGUUGAAGUGUGGUGUAUAAUCAGUUGAAUAGUGGUGUAAAACCAGUUGAAGAGUGGUGUAAAACCAGUUGAAGAGUGGUGUAUAACCAGUUGAAGUGUUUUGUAUAACCAGUUGACGAGGUGUGUAUAACCAGUUGAAGAGGUGUGUAUAACCAUUUGUAGUGUGGUGUAUAACCAGUUGAAGCGGUGUGUAUAACCAGUUGAAGGGUGGUGUAUAACCAGUUGAAGGGUGGUGUAUAACCAGUUGAAGGGGUGGUGUAUAACCAGUUGAAGUGUGGUGUAAAACCAGUUGUAGUGUGGUGUAUAACCAGUUGAAGAGGUGUGUAUAACCAGUUGAAGAGGUGUGUAUGACCAGUUGUAGUGUGGUGUAUAACCAGUUGAAGAGGUGUGUAUAACCAGUUGUAGUGUUGUGUAUAACCAGUUGAAGAGUGGUGUGUAUAACCAGUUGAGGAGGUGUGUAUAACCAGUUGAAAUGUUGUAUAUAACCAGUUGAAGUGUGGUGUAUUAGCAUUUGAAAUGUGGUGUAUAACCAUUUGAAAUGUGUGUAUAACCAGUUGAAGAGGUGUGUAUAACCAGUUGAAGUGUUGUGUAUUUCCAGUUGUAGUGUGGUGUAUAACCAGUUGAAGAGUGGUGUAUAUCCAGUUGAAGAGUGGUGUAUAACCAGUUGAAGUGUCGUGUAUAACAAGUUGGAAGUGUCGUGUAUAACCAGUUGAAGUGUCGUGUAUAACCAGUUGAAGUGUCGCGUAUAACCAGUUGAAGAGUGGUGUAUAACCAGUUGAAGAGAUGUGUAUAACCAGUUGAAGAGGUGUGUAUAACCAGUUGAAAAGUUGUGUUUUACCAGUUGAAGUGUGGUGUUUAACCAGUUUAAGUGUUUUGUAUAACCAGUUGCAGAGGUGUUUAUAACCAGUUGUAGUGUGGUGUAUAACCAGUUGAAGAGGUGUGUAUAACCAGUUGUAGUGUUGUGUAUAACCAGUUGAAGAGUGGUGUGUAUAACCAGUUGAAGUGUGGUGUAAAACCAGUUGUAGUGUGGUGUAUAACCAGUUGAAGAGGUGUGUAUAACCAGUUGAAGAGGUGUGUAGAACCAGUUGUAGUGUGGUGUAUAACCAGUUGAAGAGGUGUGUAUAACCAGUUGUAGUGUUGUGUAUAACCAGUUGAAGAGUGGUGUGUAUAACCAGUUGAGGAGGUGUGAAUAACCAGUUGUAGUGUUGUGUAUAACCAGUUGAAGAGUGGUGUGUAUAACCAGUUGAGGAGGUGUGUAUAACCAGUUGAAGUGUGGUGUAUAACCAGUUGAAGUGUGGUGUAUAACCAGUUGAAGAGGGGUGUAUAACCAGUUGAAGUGUGGUGUAUAA